rnacentral:rRNA from 1 species
GGGUUGUGAGGUUAAGCGACUAAGCGUACACGGUGGAUGCCCUGGCAGUCAGAGGCGAUGAAGGACGUGCUAAUCUGCGAUAAGCGUCGGUAAGGUGAUAUGAACCGUUAUAACCGGCGAUUUCCGAAUGGGAAACCCAGUGUGAUUCGUCACACUAUCAUUAACUGAAUCCAUAGGUUAAUGAGGCGAACCGGGGGAACUGAAACAUCUAAGUACCCCGAGGAAAAGAAAUCAACCGAGAUUCCCCCAGUAGCGGCGAGCGAACGGGGAGCAGCCCAGAGCCUGAAUCAGUGUGUGUGUUAGUGGAAGCGUCUGGAAAGGCGCGCGAUACAGGGUGACAGCCCCGUACACAAAAAUGCACAUACUGUGAGCUCGAUGAGUAGGGCGGGACACGUGGUAUCCUGUCUGAAUAUGGGGGGACCAUCCUCCAAGGCUAAAUACUCCUGACUGACCGAUAGUGAACCAGUACCGUGAGGGAAAGGCGAAAAGAACCCCGGCGAGGGGAGUGAAAAAGAACCUGAAACCGUGUACGUACAAGCAGUGGGAGCACAGAGCAAUCUGUGUGACUGCGUACCUUUUGUAUAAUGGGUCAGCGACUUAUAUUCUGUAGCAAGGUUAACCGAAUAGGGGAGCCGAAGGGAAACCGAGUCUUAACUGGGCGUUAAGUUGCAGGGUAUAGACCCGAAACCCGGUGAUCUAGCCAUGGGCAGGUUGAAGGUUGGGUAACACUAACUGGAGGACCGAACCGACUAAUGUUGAAAAAUUAGCGGAUGACUUGUGGCUGGGGGUGAAAGGCCAAUCAAACCGGGAGAUAGCUGGUUCUCCCCGAAAGCUAUUUAGGUAGCGCCUCGUGAAUUCAUCUCCGGGGGUAGAGCACUGUUUCGGCAAGGGGGUCAUCCCGACUUACCAACCCGAUGCAAACUGCGAAUACCGGAGAAUGUUAUCACGGGAGACACACGGCGGGUGCUAACGUCCGUCGUGAAGAGGGAAACAACCCAGACCGCCAGCUAAGGUCCCAAAGUCAUGGUUAAGUGGGAAACGAUGUGGGAAGGCCCAGACAGCCAGGAUGUUGGCUUAGAAGCAGCCAUCAUUUAAAGAAAGCGUAAUAGCUCACUGGUCGAGUCGGCCUGCGCGGAAGAUGUAACGGGGCUAAACCAUGCACCGAAGCUGCGGCAGCGACGCUUAUGCGUUGUUGGGUAGGGGAGCGUUCUGUAAGCCUGUGAAGGUGUACUGUGAGGUAUGCUGGAGGUAUCAGAAGUGCGAAUGCUGACAUAAGUAACGAUAAAGCGGGUGAAAAGCCCGCUCGCCGGAAGACCAAGGGUUCCUGUCCAACGUUAAUCGGGGCAGGGUGAGUCGACCCCUAAGGCGAGGCCGAAAGGCGUAGUCGAUGGGAAACAGGUUAAUAUUCCUGUACUUGGUGUUACUGCGAAGGGGGGACGGAGAAGGCUAUGUUGGCCGGGCGACGGUUGUCCCGGUUUAAGCGUGUAGGCUGGUUUUCCAGGCAAAUCCGGAAAAUCAAGGCUGAGGCGUGAUGACGAGGCACUACGGUGCUGAAGCAACAAAUGCCCUGCUUCCAGGAAAAGCCUCUAAGCAUCAGGUAACAUCAAAUCGUACCCCAAACCGACACAGGUGGUCAGGUAGAGAAUACCAAGGCGCUUGAGAGAACUCGGGUGAAGGAACUAGGCAAAAUGGUGCCGUAACUUCGGGAGAAGGCACGCUGAUAUGUAGGUGAAGUCCCUCGCGGAUGGAGCUGAAAUCAGUCGAAGAUACCAGCUGGCUGCAACUGUUUAUUAAAAACACAGCACUGUGCAAACACGAAAGUGGACGUAUACGGUGUGACGCCUGCCCGGUGCCGGAAGGUUAAUUGAUGGGGUCAGCGCAAGCGAAGCUCUUGAUCGAAGCCCCGGUAAACGGCGGCCGUAACUAUAACGGUCCUAAGGUAGCGAAAUUCCUUGUCGGGUAAGUUCCGACCUGCACGAAUGGCGUAAUGAUGGCCAGGCUGUCUCCACCCGAGACUCAGUGAAAUUGAACUCGCUGUGAAGAUGCAGUGUACCCGCGGCAAGACGGAAAGACCCCGUGAACCUUUACUAUAGCUUGACACUGAACAUUGAGCCUUGAUGUGUAGGAUAGGUGGGAGGCUUUGAAGUGUGGACGCCAGUCUGCAUGGAGCCGACCUUGAAAUACCACCCUUUAAUGUUUGAUGUUCUAACGUUGACCCGUAAUCCGGGUUGCGGACAGUGUCUGGUGGGUAGUUUGACUGGGGCGGUCUCCUCCUAAAGAGUAACGGAGGAGCACGAAGGUUGGCUAAUCCUGGUCGGACAUCAGGAGGUUAGUGCAAUGGCAUAAGCCAGCUUGACUGCGAGCGUGACGGCGCGAGCAGGUGCGAAAGCAGGUCAUAGUGAUCCGGUGGUUCUGAAUGGAAGGGCCAUCGCUCAACGGAUAAAAGGUACUCCGGGGAUAACAGGCUGAUACCGCCCAAGAGUUCAUAUCGACGGCGGUGUUUGGCACCUCGAUGUCGGCUCAUCACAUCCUGGGGCUGAAGUAGGUCCCAAGGGUAUGGCUGUUCGCCAUUUAAAGUGGUACGCGAGCUGGGUUUAGAACGUCGUGAGACAGUUCGGUCCCUAUCUGCCGUGGGCGCUGGAGAACUGAGGGGGGCUGCUCCUAGUACGAGAGGACCGGAGUGGACGCAUCACUGGUGUUCGGGUUGUCAUGCCAAUGGCACUGCCCGGUAGCUAAAUGCGGAAGAGAUAAGUGCUGAAAGCAUCUAAGCACGAAACUUGCCCCGAGAUGAGUUCUCCCUGACUCCUUGAGAGUCCUGAAGGAACGUUGAAGACGACGACGUUGAUAGGCCGGGUGUGUAAGCGCAGCGAUGCGUUGAGCUAACCGGUACUAAUGAACCGUGAGGCUUAACCUUACAACGCCGAAGGUGUUU